GACGAACGCUGGCGGCGUGCCUAAUACAUGCAAGUAGAACGCUGAAGAGAGGAGCUUGCUCUUCUUGGAUGAGUUGCGAACGGGUGAGUAACGCGUAGGUAACCUGCCUUGUAGCGGGGGAUAACUAUUGGAAACGAUAGCUAAUACCGCAUAACAAUGGAUGACACAUGUCAUUUAUUUGAAAGGGGCAAUUGCUCCACUACAAGAUGGACCUGCGUUGUAUUAGCUAGUAGGUGAGGUAACGGCUCACCUAGGCGACGAUACAUAGCCGGCCUGAGAGGGUGAUCGGCCACACUGGGACUGAGACACGGCCCAGACUCCUACGGGAGGCAGCAGUAGGGAAUCUUCGGCAAUGGGGGCAACCCUGACCGAGCAACGCCGCGUGAGUGAAGAAGGUUUUCGGAUCGUAAAGCUCUGUUGUAAGUCAAGAACGAGUGUGAGAGUGGAAAGUUCACACUGUGACGGUAGCUUAUCAGAAAGGGACGGCUAACUACGUGCCAGCAGCCGCGGUAAUACGUAGGUCCCGAGCGUUGUCCGGAUUUAUUGGGCGUAAAGCGAGCGCAGGCGGUUUGAUAAGUCUGAAGUUAAAGGCUGUGGCUCAACCAUAGUUCGCUUUGGAAACUGUCAAACUUGAGUGCAGAAGGGGAGAGUGGAAUUCCAUGUGUAGCGGUGAAAUGCGUAGAUAUAUGGAGGAACACCGGUGGCGAAAGCGGCUCUCUGGUCUGUAACUGACGCUGAGGCUCGAAAGCGUGGGGAGCGAACAGGAUUAGAUACCCUGGUAGUCCACGCCGUAAACGAUGAGUGCUAGGUGUUGGAUCCUUUCCGGGAUUCAGUGCCGCAGCUAACGCAUUAAGCACUCCGCCUGGGGAGUACGACCGCAAGGUUGAAACUCAAAGGAAUUGACGGGGGCCCGCACAAGCGGUGGAGCAUGUGGUUUAAUUCGAAGCAACGCGAAGAACCUUACCAGGUCUUGACAUCCCGAUGCUAUUUCUAGAGAUAGAAAGUUACUUCGGUACAUCGGUGACAGGUGGUGCAUGGUUGUCGUCAGCUCGUGUCGUGAGAUGUUGGGUUAAGUCCCGCAACGAGCGCAACCCCUAUUGUUAGUUGCCAUCAUUCAGUUGGGCACUCUAGCGAGACUGCCGGUAAUAAACCGGAGGAAGGUGGGGAUGACGUCAAAUCAUCAUGCCCCUUAUGACCUGGGCUACACACGUGCUACAAUGGUUGGUACAACGAGUUGCGAGUCGGUGACGGCAAGCUAAUCUCUUAAAGCCAAUCUCAGUUCGGAUUGUAGGCUGCAACUCGCCUACAUGAAGUCGGAAUCGCUAGUAAUCGCGGAUCAGCACGCCGCGGUGAAUACGUUCCCGGGCCU
rnacentral:rRNA from 1 species